rnacentral:rRNA from 1 species
AGGGAAUUAGUGGCGAACGGGUGAGUAACACGUGAGUAACCUGCCCUUGACUCUGGGAUAACCUCCGGAAACGGAAGCUAAUACCGGAUAUGACGCACGGAGGCAUCUCCUGUGCGUGGAAAGAACUUCGGUCAAGGAUGGACUCGCGGCCUAUCAGGUAGUUGGUGAGGUAACGGCUCACCAAGCCUACGACGGGUAGCCGGCCUGAGAGGGUGACCGGCCACACUGGGACUGAGACACGGCCCAG